GAGGAAAGUCCGAGCUACAUAGGGCAGAGUGCCAGAUAACGUCUGGGCGGUGUGAACCGACGACCAGUGCAACAGAGAGCAGACCGCCGAUGUGCAUUAGCGCAGGUAAGGGUGAAAGGGUGCGGUAAGAGCGCACCGCGAGGGUGGCAACAUUCCACGGCACGGUAAACUCCACUCGUAGCAAGACCAAAUAGGAACUCAAUGGAUGGCCCGUCCAGAGUUCGGGUAGGUUGCUUGAGCUUGCGUGCGAAUGCAAGCCUAGAGGAAUGAUUGUCCACGACAGAACUCGGCUUA
rnacentral:RNase_P_RNA from 1 species